UGUAUUUAUGUAUUUAUUUGUUUAUA
rnacentral:piRNA from 1 species